AUCGAUAAGACAAUGAUGUACUACCAAGCACAUAUCUGAAGUGAGUGUGUGGACAGCACUAACCUGAGUCUUUUCCAC
ensembl:snoRNA small nucleolar RNA, C/D box 121B